CAGAUGGGGAUAGCUAUUAGAAAUAGUAGAUAAUACCGAAUACGAGCACAGGGGUUAGAGAUCCGUGAGGAAAGGAGCUAAGGCUCCGCUGAAGGAAUGGCCUGCGGCCCAUUAGCUAGUUGGUGAGGUAAGAGCCCACCAAGGCGAUGAUGGGUAUCCGGCCUUAGAGGGUGAACGGACACAUUGGGACUGAGAUACGGCCCAGACUCCUACGGGAGGCAGCAGCUAAGAAUAUUCCGCAAUGGACGAAAGUCUGACGGAGCGACGCCGCGUGGAUGAAGAAGGCCGGAAGGUUGUAAAAUCCUUUUGAAACUGAAGAAUAAGCGUUGUAGGGAAUGACAGCGUGGUGACAGUAGGUUUUGAAUAAGCAACGGCUAAUUACGUGCCAGCCGCUGC
rnacentral:rRNA from 1 species